UGGCUAUCCUCAUAUGGUGGCAAUUGCAUUUUAACAGAGCAGGAGUAGAAGCUCCUAGGCUUCUUACUUUGUUGGCCUGGAACAUCUCCAACAUCACUUUUACCACAUCCUGUUGGCCAAAGCAAGUCAUAUGGAUCAAGAUGCUGGGAGAAUGAAUUCUUCUCUUUGCCAAAACUCUUACCUGGGUGUCCUUCCAGCUUUCCUACUUGAUGUGGACCAGAACCUUCUUGUUCAGCACUACUAAACCUUUGUUGGAUAUCAUUGUCUAGUUCUGAUGUUAAAUUCACAAGUCUAUUUGGCUUUCUCACCUAGCCAUAUCUUCUGUGGUGUUUCUUAAAAGCAAUAAACAUCCAUUGGUGCA